AAGGAUUUAAGUUAAAUAAGAAACUAUUAGCCUUCAAAGUUAAAAAUACAAAUAAUUGUAAGCCUUA
rnacentral:tRNA from 1 species